rnacentral:rRNA from 1 species
UACCACAGCCAUAUCACCCUGCAGCCAAAGACCGGUUACUCACUGAAGCUAAGCAGGGCUGAGCCUGGUUAGUACGUGGAUGGGAGACCACUAGGGAACACUAGGUUGCUGUUGGAA